rnacentral:rRNA from 1 species
CCUACGGGAGGCUGCAGUGAGGAAUAUUGGUCAAUGGACGAGAGUCUGAACCAGCCAAGUAGCGUGAAGGAUGACUGCCCUAUGGGUUGUAAACUUCUUUUAUAUGGGGAUAAAACGUUCCACGUGUGGGAUUUUGUAUGUACCAUAUGAAUAAGGACCGGCUAACUCCGUGCCAGCAGCCGCGGUAAUACGGAGGAUCCGAGCGUUAUCCGGAUUUAUUGGGUUUAAAGGGAGCGUAGGUGGAUUGUUAAGUCAGUUGUGAAAGUUUGCGGCUCAACCGUAGAAUUGCGGUUGAAACUGGCAGUCUUGAGUACAGUAGAGGUGGGCGGAAUUCGUGGUGUAGCGGUGAAAUGCUUAGAUAUCACGAAGAACUCCGAUUGCGAAGGCAGUUCACUGGACUGCAACUGACACUGAGGCUCGAAAGUGUGGGUAUCAAACAGGAUUAGAUACCCCAGUAGUC